rnacentral:RNase_P_RNA from 2 species
GGAGUCGGCCAGACAGCCGCCGUAAUCCAUCGCGGUUACGGAGGAAAGUCCGGGCUCCGAAGGGCAGGGUGCCAGGUAACGCCUGGGGGGCAUGAGCCCACGGAAAGUGCCACAGAAAAUAUACCGCCGGACGCCGAUGGCGCCGGUAAGGGUGAAAAGGUGCGGUAAGAGCGCACCGCGCGGGUGGCAACACUUCGCGGCACGGUAAACCCCACCCGGAGCAAGACCAAAUAGGGGGGCAUGCCGCUGAAACAGGCGGCGACGUGCGGCCCGCACGUGUUCCCGGGUAGGUCGCUUGAGGUGCGCGGCGACGCGCAUCCCAGAUGAAUGGCUGUCCACGACAGAACCCGGCUUAUCGGCCGACUCUUUUU